rnacentral:rRNA from 1 species
GACAGAGGUGGCAAGCGUUGUUCGGAAUUACUGGGCUUAAAGGGCGCGUAGGCGGUGAGAUAAGUCUGAGGUGAAAUCCUAUGGCUUAACCAUAGAACUGCCUUGGAAACUGUUUUACUUGAGUCAGCGAGGGGAUGGUGGAAUUCCCGGUGUAGCAGUGAAAUGCGUAGAUAUCGGGAGGAAGGCCGGUGGCGAAGGCGGCCAUCUGGCGCUGAACUGACGCUGAGGCGCGAAAGCGUGGGUAG